rnacentral:rRNA from 1 species
AUGGCAGCACCGCACAGCACAAACGGCGCCCGGCGGCGCUCCAUUGCAGCGUUAACGGCGCUUCAAAGCAACCCCGACAAGCUUCAACGCCCUCUGCGGUGCUUCAAUGCAGCUCCGGCGACGCUUCAUAGCAACUCGGCGGAGCUUUCGAUGACGCCACGACGCUUCAUUGCAGCUCCAGUGGCCCUGGCGAUGCUCCACUCCAGCAACGCACCUGGUGAGCUCCAUGGCAGCACCGGCCGCCAACACCGGCGCGGCGGUGCUACAACGCAGCACCGACGUCCCUCCGUAGCUCCGUCCAUGCUUCAUUGCGGCCGCGACACCGGCAUGCGGUGCUCCAACGCAGCGCCGGCGACCCGGCGCAGCUCCGGCCAUGCUUCAUUGCAGCCGCCAACACCGGCGCGGCCGUGCUACAACGCAGCGCCGAGGUUCCUCCGUAGCUCCGUCCAUGCUCCAUUGCAGCCGCGACACCGGCAUGUGGGUGCUCCAACGCAGCGCCGCCGACCCGUCGCAUCGCCGGCCAUGCUUAAUUGCAACCCGCGACAUCGGCACACGGUGCUCCAGCGGCCCGUCGCAGCUCCGGCAUGUUGCACUGUAGCUGCGUCGCUCUAG